AAAAAAUUAAGUUGCAAAUUUAGAAUAUUGAGCACGCCGGAUCAGGCCAAAAAAUUGACUUUAGCUUCCCCAAUUUCCAAGCCCUUCAGGUACAAUUCCACUUUCUUUAUAGAACCUUAAAAUAUUGGGUCGCUUUUUCUUGACAAAAUGGUUGUUAUCAUACUCAUAACAAUUGUUACUCUGGAAUUGGGGAGGAGAAUCAUACAAGUAUAGGCUUAUGCUGCUUGAGAUCAAUUAGGUGAUCUAUAUACUCAUAUAAUAUCAUGUAAUAUGACUAAACUCUACUUUAGAGUUCCUGUAGUGUGUGGCUUUUCCCUCUGGAUGUUGAUUUCUUAAUAUGGCACUGUGUGAUUGUUUGAGUAUCAUGAGGUUGAAUGUAAACAGAAUAGUUUAUGUAGAACCAUUUUAAUUGCAUUUGGUAGUUCCUGAAAGCUUUUAGCUCAACCACAAUAAUUUUGCAAGGUAUUGCGCACAUCUAUCUGUUCUUUAUAGAGUCAAGUGGAAAGGAGAACAUGACCCUUUGUAGUCUAAUUUUCUUUUGCCUUACAGGAACAUGAUGGGCUAAUUGUUUGAACAACAAUUAUUUUUGCAAGUAAGAUAGCUAGUAAGAUAUUAACCGGACACUAUAUCAGGUGAGUGUUUUAAGUAUCUAGCACUAUUUAUUUCGGACUCUCAUAUCUGUGUGAACAUCUUUUUGACAAAUGCAGGGAUUGUUUCAAAGAAAAAAACAUAUAACCUUGAGAUCAUCUUGGGUUAUUUCUUUGUAAUCUGAAGACAUUAGGUUAUUUCUCCUAGACAUGAACCUAUUUUUUACAUGAAAAGUUUCUUUGUCACGAUCAAGAACCUAUUUUUCCUAGACAUGAUCAUCUUGGGUUGUUUCUUUGUCAACUCUGUGUAGACCUAUCAUGAUGGAAAGUUUCCAUUGUUGGAACCUAUGGAUUCGAUCACCUACAACAGAUAAUGAUGAUGAUCUUUUGACGUACAAUAUCAUUUAUAAUAUAAUUAUUCAAAAAGCCUUUGCAUGGAUAGAUCCCUUGGAUGGGCCCAAAUUCUGAUGAUGUGCCAUGGUUCCUUAUUCAUAUUUCAUAGAAGGUUGACUCCAACUUCGUACAGUGAUAGCAGUUGCUCCAUUUUUACUGUUGAGGUAUUUCACUUCUAUUUGUUUUAUUAUCAUCUUAAUUUACCUUGUGCAUAAUUCGAAUUGUGAAGGAUCUUAUAGAUUUCUUCUGAAUGUAAGUUGGUCUUCCAUUAGUUUUUGAUACACGAAGUUCACCAAUAAAUUAUGAGAUAAAAUCUGAAGUAACCACUAGAUUUAGUUGGCAAACACACAGUCCACUUUUAACUGUAGAACCUCAAUCUGAUUGAGUAUAGCCCAUAUAUACCUAGGUUUGUUUAAGAAUACAUGGGUAUAACUUUUUAGUGCUUUCUAUCAUGUUCCUCGAUUUUGCCAGAGAUUUGAAGCUGCUUUCAUUUGUUACCUUGUGUAUUUCUCAUUCAUAACCGAUUUUUUCUUUUUAGAGUUUUUGCCCCAAGAUGCAAUGAAGGCAUAUUAAUUUGGUGUUUUUCUCUGUAUGUUGUGGUAAAGUAUCAUUUAUACUAUUGAUAUGGACCUGAAAUAUUGUGUGUUCUUAUAUUAAAUUUGAUAACCACUGUGUGCAUCAAUUAAAAUCUGCUAAUUCUCAUGACUUGCUUCUAAAUCCUCCUUUUAAUUCAAACACAAUAUUUUUAGGUUAACUAUGUUCUUGAGGCCCUGGUUGUACUACAUCCCCAUUGUCUCUUAUCGUUUCAUAUUAGCUAAUUUUAUUGGAUGGUGAUAAAGUUUGACAGAUAUGUUAUACGUGAAAUAUUAAAUAGACCAGAGUUAUCGUCCCAGCAUAUAAAUUGGAGACAUGGCAUAUUGGAUUCUGCAAGAAAUGUCGUCGAGAAGAGCAGCUAAAUGAAUCUAUAUCUUAGUCACAUUGUAGUAUUUAAUUUUAAUAGAAGGGAUACGCAAAACAGGGCCACUUGGAAAGGUUGUACUCUUAUUUGAGAUGUUUGAGGUGUAGAUUUAUAAAAUACUGGAAUUCCAAUACAGCAACAUAGAGAUAUUAUGCAAGAUGUAAGGGUUUGGAGUUCUCCCAAACAAUGUUGUAUGUAUAUGAUCUUGUGAAGUAUCGCUGCUCUUAUUAGCCUAAGAGGCUCCUUGGCCAUUCAACAUUUCUAAUCAAAUUUCAUUUCAAAUUC
rnacentral:lncRNA from 1 species